rnacentral:ncRNA from 1 species
AAAUAAUUUGGCUUUGGUUAUUAUAUAGAUUAUUAUUAAAUUAAUAUAUGUUAGGUUUAAUUAUAUACGUUUUAUUUAUUUAUUUUUAUGUUUGAUUUGUUUAAUAUAAGUUAAAUAUUUAAAUAUUAUUAUUAAUAAUUUAUUAUAAUAAUAUAAAUAAAUUACGCAGUAUUUAUUAUUAUACAAUGAAUGAAAGUUUGAUAUAAUUAAUGUAAAUUAAAUGUGGUUAAAUCAGUGCCAGCAUCUGCGGUUAUACUGAUGCUUUAAAUCUAUAUUUAUAUGGUAUAAAAUAAAGUAAUAAAUGUUAAUAAUAUUUAGAAUAGUUAAGGGCAGUGAUUAAAGGUAAAAUUUAAUAAUUGUUAUUAAUGAUAUUAUUCUAAUUAUAAAUUCUUUGAAAGUAGGAAGAAAAACUAGGAUUAGAUACCCUAUUAUUCUUUAUUUUAAAAAUUUUUAUUACUUAAGUAGUGUGAACAUAUAUUUUUGAAAAGUAAUAAUAUAAUUAAUAUUAUAAUGUUUGAAACUUAAAAGGCUUGGCGGUGUUAUAUAUCCUUCCAGAGGAGUUUGCUUGUUAAUUUGAUAGUCCUCAAUUUAUAUUUACUUUUUUUUGAAAAAUAUUAAUCAGUUUGUAUAUUGCUGUCAUUAGUUUAUUUUGUAAAAAUUUUAUAAGAAACUUAAUAAUUUUUUGAUUAUUAUGUCAAGUCAAAAUGCAGCUAAUAAAAAAGGCUUAUUAAGUGAACUACAAUUUAUAAUUUUUAAGUCGGAUUAAACUUAUGUAAUUAGUUUAUAAAGUUGGAUUUGGUAGUAAUAUUAUAAAUAGUGAGUUUUUAUGAAUUAGGUUUUAUAAUGCGUACAUAUCGCCCGUCGCUCUUGUUGGAAAAUAAGAUAAGUCGUAACAUAGUAGAUGUAGUGGAAGCUGUUUCUGGUGUAUA